rnacentral:rRNA from 1 species
AUUGAACGCUGGCGGCAGGCUUAACACAUGCAAGUCGAGCGGAGAUGAGGUGCUUGCACCUUAUCUUAGCGGCGGACGGGUGAGUAAUGCUUAGGAAUCUGCCUAUUAGUGGGGGACAACAUUCCGAAAGGAAUGCUAAUACCGCAUACGUCCUACGGGAGAAAGCAGGGGAUCUUCGGACCUUGCGCUAAUAGAUGAGCCUAAGUCGGAUUAGCUAGUUGGUGGGGUAAAGGCCUACCAAGGCGACGAUCUGUAGCGGGUCUGAGAGGAUGAUCCGCCCCACUGGGACUGAGACACGGCCCAGACUCCUACGGGAGGCAGCAGUGGGGAAUAUUGGACAAUGGGGGGAACCCUGAUCCAGCCAUGCCGCGUGUGUGAAGAAGGCCUUAUGGUUGUAAAGCACUUUAAGCGAGGAGGAGGCUACUGAGACUAAUACUCUUGGAUAGUGGACGUUACUCGCAGAGUAAGCACCGGCUAACUCUGUGCCAGCCGCCGCGGUAACAC